AAUUAGUCCCAUAUUUUAACAAUUUCGAAUAAAAAUUUUUUUUUAUUUUAAAAAAAAAAUCAGUUUUUUACCUAUACCGUAUAUGGUUAAUAAAUCCCAAAUUUAAUACGUAUUUUGCAAACUUUAUAAUUGCACGGCAAUUAUAACGUUUGCGUGGCAAAAAUGUUAAAUGCUCCGCGAACCCAAAUGUUUAAAUUUAAUAUAUAUUUUUUAUUUUUUUACAUCCUCGAUACGUCGCACAAAUUUAAUAAUUCCCGAAAAUGCUCAAAUUAUUAUUUCGUAAACGCUUUUAUUAGGCCGUUUGCAGGUAUAAAAUUCGUUGGUAGGUAUUCCACCGCGAUCCUCCCGUUUUGCGCUAAUUAUCGUAACCACAUAUUUUAUAUAUUAAUAUGCCGGAAUUUCGUUAAAAUCCUUUUAUUUUAUCCCAUUACCAACCGAAUUGUUUGCAUAUUAUUACAAAAUACCCUAAUCGCGCCAAAAAUAUUUAAAUUAAAAUCGUUUAAUAAUUUUUCCAACGUAAUAAUUUUUUUUGCAAUUAAACCUAGGGCUAACAAUUCAAAUUUUAUAAAUAAUAUGGAAACGGUUGUUUGUUUUAAGGAUUUCCAAUGUACGGGGCCACCCCCAAUUAUAAAUACAAAACCCUGUAAAUUGCGUUUUAUUUUAAUACAAUUAACGAAUAAUGCGUCGGACGUUACCACCAAAAAUCCGUAAAUUUUCCAAAAUCCGAAACGAAUUGCUAAAAAACGCGUCGAAAAAAGGUAACGUAUGGUUUAAUUUGCCGCAUUUAUAUAUUUUUGGGACGGGUUGGUCAGGUGUUUGGAUAAUUUUAAAACGGCGAAAAUAAUAUCGAGGCGGAUUAUUACGGUUAUAUAUAUUAAACCUCCCAUUUCUUUCUAAUAUAUCCGGAUAAAAUAUUUGUUUCCUGGUUCGCCCUGGUUAAAUAAUAAUUUCGUGGUCGGGUAAAAUAUUGCGGGGAAAGAUUUAUUUAUUUUGUGCAAAUUGUAUUUUUGCGCCAAUUUUUUUAUAUAUAAAUCGUGUGCAAAAUAAAUGCACCGCUGUUUUCGGUUCCUAAUAAUUUUUAUAUUUAAAAACCAUUGCAAAUCCUUAACCGGCGGGGAAUCGUAUUUUUUUAAAACAAAUGUAAGGAUUUCCUUUCUUUUAUCGCUAUUUUUUUUGUAAUAUAUUACCAGGAAAUCGUUAAUAUAAAAAACGAUAAUAAUUUU
rnacentral:sRNA from 1 species